GCUAGUAAUCGCAGAUCAGCAUGCUGCGGUGAAUACGUUCCCGGGGCUUGUACACACCGCCCGUCAAACCAUGGGAGUUUGGAGCACCCGAAGUCAGUGGCCUAACCGAAAGGGAGGAGCUGCCGAAGGUGAGCCAGAUAACUGGGGUGAAGUCGUAACAAGGUAAC
rnacentral:rRNA from 1 species